rfam:Pteropus alecto contig100511, whole genome shotgun sequence.
GUCUAUGGCCAUGCCACCCUAAAUAAGCCUGAUGUCUGAUCUCGGAAGCUAAGACAGGUCAGGCCUGGUUAGUACUUGGAUGGGAGACCACCUAGGAAGACCAGGUGCUGUAGGCA